rnacentral:rRNA from 1 species
GAUGAACGCUGGCGGCGUGCCUAAUACAUGCAAGUCAAGCGAACGGACGAGAAGCUUGCUUCUCUGAUGUUAGCGGCGGACGGGUGAGUAACACGUGGAUAACCUACCUAUAAGACUGGGAUAACUUCGGGAAACCGUAGCUAAUACCGGAUAAUAUUUUGAACCGCAUGGUUCAAAAGUGAAAGACGGUCUUGCUGUCACUUAUAGAUGGAUCCGCGCUGCAUUAGCUAGUUGGUAAGGUAACGGCUUACCAAGGCAACGAUGCAUAGCCGACCUGAGAGGGUGAUCGGCCACACUGGAACUGAGACACGGUCCAGACUCCUACGGGAGGCAGCAGUAGGGAAUCUUCCGCAAUGGGCGAAAGCCUGACGGAGCAACGCCGCGUGAGUGAUGAAGGUCUUCGGAUCGUAAAACUCUGUUAUUAGGGAAGAACAUAUGUGUAAGUAACUGUGCACAUCUUGACGUUACCUAAUCAGAAAGCCACGGCUAACUACGUG